AUAUUUGUCAACCACCUAUUUUUCAGGGCCAAUUAACAAGACUAAAACUGACUAAAUAGACCCAGAAAAAAAUAUAACUAAACAAAAAUGAUUUUCAUUUCAGUUGACUAAAACGAGACAAGACUCAAAUCUGACUACUAAGUGCACUGGACAAGAGAAUGAGAGCUUUUCAGUGAUUAGCACAAUUAAAAUUAGCAGCACAGAGCAGUUCUGUUCAGCAGUGGGAAGGAUGCACCACACCCGGAACACAGCCUAGUCUACAUCCGUUUGUGAACUGCGGGGGAGCAAGUGAUGAGUGUUGGCAGACAGGCACCAGGCAGACAGACAGGCUCCACUUUGGCUCCGAUAUGGCAACUGCUCGGCAUCUGACAGUAAGGCGCUACAGAGGGUAGUGCGUACGGCCCAGUACAUCACUGGGGUCAAGCUUUCUGCCAUCCAGGACCUCUAUACCAGGCGGUGUCAGAGGAAAGCCCAUAAAAUUGUCAGAGACUCCAGUCACCCAAAUUAAAGACUGUUUUCUCUGCUACCGCACGGCAAGCGGUACCGGAGCGCCAAGUCUAGAACGAAAAGGCUCAACAACUUCUACUCCCAAACCAUAAGGUCGCCACCGGACAAUUUACAUUGACCCCCUCCCUUUUGUACACUGCUGGUACUCGCUGUUUGUUUGUUACCUAUGAAUAGUCAGUUCGCCCCCACCUACAUGUACCGAUUACCUCAACAAGCCUGUACCCCUGCACACUGACUGGGUACCGGUGCCCCCUGUAUAUAGCCUCGUUAUUGUUAUUCUUAUUGUGUUACUUUUUAUUAUUACUUUUUAUUUUGGUCUACUUGGUAAAUAUUUUCUUCUUCUUGAACUGCACUGUUGAUUAAGGGCUUGUAAGUAAAGCAUUUCACGGUAAAGUUUACACUUGUUGUGUUCGGGGCAUGUGACAAAUAAAGUUUGAUUUGAUUUGAUCUUUGGCUUCCCAGUAGCUAACCAGUCACCACCAGCCUUCUAGAAACCCGUUACCUGGUUAAGA
rnacentral:lncRNA from 13 species